CAAAAACCUGGAACUGGCUAACUGGAGACAGUUAUCUCCUGGCUCUGAUUAUACUGACUGGCUUCAUGUUCGUCUCAAUGAUGCUUGCAAAGUGUUGCUACAGCACACAACCCACACUAACGAGGAAGGAGAAAAAACAAUUGGGAGCAAAUCGUGAUUAUGUCCAACGUGUUGUGGUUGAGAAAAAGGCGCAGCUCUAUGAUAUGUAUCUCUAUCAGUGUGUCUCGGAACAGGAGUUAAUCUAAAGCAUUAAUGGAAAGAGCCUGUGUGGAGAAAAUAACAUUGUGUAAUGCCUAACUCUGAGUUUCUGUGAUAAUGUAUGGCAUGU